GGAGUUUGGACCGUGUCUCAGUUCCAAUGUGGGGGACCUUCCUCUCAGAACCCCUACUGAUCGCAGGCUUGGUGGGCCGUUACCCCGCCGACUACCUAAUCAGACGCAUCCCCAUCCUAUAGCGGUAAACCUUUGGUAUUCGUCAGAUGUCAUCAAAAUACAACAUAGGGUAUUAAUCCGCAUUUCUACGGGCUAUCCCCUACUAUAGGGAAGGUUGGAUACGCGUUACUCACCCGUGCGCCGGUCGCCAUCUAUCAAAGCAAGCUUCGAUAAUGCUGCCCCUCGACUUGCAUGUGUUAAGCCUGUAGCUAGCGUUCAUC
rnacentral:rRNA from 1 species